UGAGCAAUCUGCCCUUCUCAUCGGAACAAGCGUUGGAAACGACGUCUAAUGCCGAAUACGACCUCCUUUCGCAUGAUCGGAGGUGGAAAGCUCCGGCGGAGAAGGAUGAGCUCGCGGCCUAUCAGCUAGUUGGUGUGGGUAAUGGCCCACCAAGGCGACGACGGGUAGCCGGCCUGAGAGGGUGACCGGCCACACUGGGACUGAGACACAGCCCAGACUCCUAGGAGG
rnacentral:rRNA from 1 species